GUUUGACUUGUCCACAUUGAUUAAUUCUAAUGAUGAAAACAAAGUGUAGUAAAAGGCAAUGUGAAUAAUUGCUUGUGAGAUGUGUUGAUAAUAAAGAAUGGUUUGAAAAGUUUGUUGAAUCAUUGUUGAUGUUGUUUUGAAUUGUGCAGUGUUAUGAAAGUUGUCAUAUCCUCUUUACAUGUGUGAACAUGUCAUUUGCAUUAUUGUAAGACAUGGUUGUGAAAGUGUUAUGUGUAUUGAGAAAGAAUGACAACUUAAAAAUGAUGUACUAUUUCGAGAGACGCAUCGCGCGCCGUG
rnacentral:misc_RNA from 1 species